AUACGUAGGUGGCAAGCGUUAUCCGGAAUUACUGGGCGUAAAGCGCACGCAGGCGGCCAGUCAAGUCUGACGUGAAAGCUCCUGGCUUAACUGGGAGAGGUCGUUGGAAACUGAUUGGCUUGAGGCAAUGAGAGGGACACGGAAUUCCCGGUGUAGUGGUGGAAUGCGUAGAUAUCGGGAGGAACACCAGUGGCGAAAGCGGUGUCCUGGCAUUGACCUGACGCUCAUGUGCGAAAGCGUGGGGAGCGAACGGGAUUAGAAACCCCAGUAGUCC
rnacentral:rRNA from 1 species